rnacentral:sRNA from 1 species
CCCAGGGCUUACGCCCUGGGCUAGAUUCGGGCGCCCCUCCGGGGCU